CCGGAGUUUAAUACGGCCCAAAUCAGUAUAACCGAGUUCAAUAACCGGUAAGAAUUAAAAUAUUUUACAUUAUUCACCCAAAUCUUUACAUUAAUCACAACAAACUCCAACAUCUAUUCGACUCUUUCAAAUUCACACUCUUCCUCCUCUUCGAAAUCUCCGAGUACAAAAUCGAUCAAUCUCUCGGAAAAUGAUCGUGUAUUCUCUCUCUCAGCCUCACUGCUUCCUAAUGAAUCUCUCUAUUUCUCCUCAUUACGGUUGCUGCUACUGCGGAGUUUGGUGGGGAGGUAUUAGAGACGGAGCUUUGGUGCGUGGCGAAGAACAACGUUGAGGAUUCAACACUUUAAACGGCCAUUGACUGGGCUUGUGGUCCCAGAGGAGCUGAUUGCGUCUAGAUUCAGCAAGGUGGAUCCUGCUACGAUCCAUUGGAUAUAGUGAAGAUGGCUUCGUAUGUAUUCAAUAACUAUUAUCUGAUGGAAUGGUCUCGCAGAUGAAGCUUGCAACUUUAGUAACAACGCAGCUGUUACUUCUCUCAAUCCUAGUCAAGGAACAUGCAAGUUUCCUUCAAGUAAGGGAGUGAGCAAUGGAAGUAUCGCAGAUGCCACUUCAAUGCAGGGAGCAACUGCACCAGAAUUCUCAGAUUGAGCCGAGCAAGGCGGAUGUUUAGCAGCUGGUUGUCACCCUUCGUCAUUUUAGGCCACAUUGUGACAAUGACACUGAUUAUCCAACAGGUUUAGCUUCCGAUUGGUGAUUGAAGGUAACCCUUUUAUGAUCUCUCUUCUCCCUCAGUUUUAUGUAACUAAAAUGGUUCUGCAUCUUUUAUGGAGCCCUGAUAUGUACUGUCUACCACUGUGAAUAGUUAACUUGAAUGGCAUGAACUGCACCAGAUGUAUCUUUUGACUAACAUAUAUUUAGUGUUCCGUUACACAAAACUAUCUAAAACCAAAAACAGAGCAUGAUAUAGUAAAAAAGAAAGGAGGAUAUUGUAUAAAUUAAAGAUUAUCGAUAUGUGUAUAUGAUUUAUAUGCAUAAUAUGUAUCUAUAUGUCGACUCAAUGUCUCUCAAGAUCUGCCACACGAUCUUGGUCAGGACAAGAAUGGUUGAUCCUGUUCGAAGAUCUUUCCCUCGUCAAGAUUUUCCUAAACGAAUUUAAUCGCGAAGCCGGGGAUACAACUGUUUUGUUAUCUGAGGAAGAAGAGGAUGCGGCUUCUACAGUCAAGUUCAGCCUGGUUUCCACCAACAACUGCGGUGCAGUACCGACUGGUCCUUCCCUUGGCUCAGGCUCAAGUCUCGGUCUUGGCUCAACUUCAGUCCGACAAACAGGACAAGUGGAGCAAGUGGUGAGCCACGUGUCAACACAGUCGACGUGGAAGAUGUGCUUGCAGUUGGGCAACUCUCUCGCCUUGUCUUGCUCCUUUAACACGCUUAGACACACUGCGCAUUCAGUAGCGGAGGCAGCCACGCCAUCAGUGGCUCCAACAGUGAAAGUAGGGAGAGAAGCGAUGACUGUGGGAUUGAGGCCACGCUUAGGCAUCUCAAAAGGGUGGCGGAAAAUGACGGGGAGGCCACGGAAAGCUUCUCUACGGCGUCGGAGAACGAAUCUUGCGUAAAGAUGAAGAGCGAAGACGAUGAGGAUAACUCCAGAUAAAGAAGCCACUGCGGCAAGCAUGAUCUUGCUGUUAAGAUCGUAAGUAGACGGAUUAGGCCAGAAUGAGUGGUGGUCAGAGUUGAACCUGCGAUGAUCUCUGUCGUUGGAGCUCAUUGUGAAGCUGGUUUUUCUUCGGUGGAUGCAAAAGAAAAGUGAACAAAAGAGUUUACUAACUUAUGAUUUAUUAUAUAAGGAAUAAAGGACUUAUAGAAUUUCUUAUUUUGAUUGUUUUUC
rnacentral:lncRNA from 1 species